UAAGGAAUAUUGGUCAAUGGACGCAAGUCUGAACCAGCCAUGCCGCGUGAAGGAUGAAGGCCCUCUGGGUUGUAAACUUCUUUUAUAGGGGACGAAAUGCAGUUAUUCUUAAUUGUUUGACGGUACCCUAGGAAUAAGCACCGGCUAACUCCGUGCCAGCAGCCGCGGUAAUACGGAGGGUGCAAGCGUUAUCCGGAUUCACUGGGUUUAAAGGGUGCGUAGGUGGGCUUGUAAGUCAGUGGUGAAAUCUCCGGGCUUAACUCGGAAACUGCCAUUGAUACUAUAGGUCUUGAAUUAUCUGGAGGUCAGCGGAAUAUGUCAUGUAGCGGUGAAAUGCUUAGAUAUGACAUAGAACACCAAUUGCGAAGGCAGCUGGCUACAGGUA
rnacentral:rRNA from 1 species